AUCCAGCUGACGAGUCCCAAAUAGGAUGAAACACGUGUCCCGGAU
rfam:Schistosoma rodhaini strain Burundi genome assembly, scaffold: SROB_scaffold0011282